GUCUACGCCCAGUCAGAUUCUAUUGGUUGAAAGGCCGUGGGAAGCGGCCAUAAGUAACCAAUUGAAACACUCAACCGGCUCGUGAGGGCGGGAAGAGCACCGCAAGCUUCCUAAAAAGCCAAUAGCGAAUAGGGAUGGUAAAGAGCUUCCUGAUUUCGGGUGUCGGCGGAAGAUGGAGGCCGCCAAGGGGAGUUGGUGUGUGUGUGAGCUGCUGAGGUUCUUUUACUCAUUAUUCUUCCCUGGGCUAAUUGUGUGUGGAAUUUUAUGUGUAUAUUUGGCCAUUGCCCUUUGGGGAAUCAGGCUGCUGCUACGGAAAAAGAAAAGGUCAAUGUCAGCUAGCAAAAAUGGGAAAAGUCAAACGGUGAUAGCGUUCUUUCAUCCAUACUGCAAUGCUGGUGGAGGAGGAGAAAGGGUUCUAUGGUGUGCCUUGAGGACCCUGCAGAACAAGUAUCCUGAAGCAGUUUAUGUUAUUUACACUGGUGACAUUAAUGUUAAUGGUCCACAGAUACUAGAAGGUGCUUUCAGAAGAUUUAACAUCAGAUUGAUCCACCCGGUGCAGUUCGUUUUCCUAAGGAAGCGCUACCUUGUGGAAGAUUCGUACUAUCCUCGCUUCACACUGCUGGGCCAAAGCCUAGGAUCCAUUUUCCUUGGCUGGGAAGCACUGAUGCAGUGUGUUCCUGAUGUUUACAUUGACUCGAUGGGAUAUGCUUUCACACUGCCUCUGUUUAAGUACCUAGGGGGCUGCCGAGUUGGAAGCUAUGUUCAUUAUCCCACUAUCAGCACUGACAUGCUGUCUGUAGUGAAGAAUCAAACUGCUGCUUUUAAUAACGCAAGCUUCAUUACCAGGAAUCCUUUUCUCAGCAAAGUGAAGCUCAUCUACUACUAUUUAUUUGCUUCUAUUUAUGGACUUGUUGGUUCAUGCAGUGAUGUUGUCAUGGUCAAUUCUUCUUGGACCUUAAACCAUAUUCUCUCCCUGUGGAAGGUUGGGAAUCGCACGAACAUUGUUUAUCCACCUUGUGAUGUACAGACAUUUCUGGACAUUCCUUUACAUGAGAAAAAGACGGUCCCAGGACAUUUAUUGGUUUCUGUUGGCCAGUUCAGACCUGAAAAGAAUCAUCCUUUGCAGAUCAGAGCCUUUGCUAAAUUGUUGAGCAGGAAGGUGCCUGAGUCACCUUCACUUAAACUUGUCCUCAUUGGAGGUUGUCGUAACAAAGAUGAUGACCUUAGAGUAAACCAGCUGAGAAAACUGUGUGAGGACCUAAAAGUUCAAGAUGAUGUGGAAUUUAAGAUAAACAUUCCAUUUGAUGAACUAAAGAAGUACUUGUCUGAAGCAACGAUUGGUUUGCAUACCAUGUGGAAUGAGCACUUUGGAAUUGACAAGCUUCAUUACUGAGGUUUUCCUAGAUCACCCUGCAUCCAGCUAGCAAAAAUGAAGGGGCCAGUGGCGAAGACAGGGAUCCUCCAGGUGUGUGGGAAGUGCACAGGGAAAGGGAGAGAAGGAAGGAAAGCAAGGAAACUCCAGGACAAAGCAAACUCAUGAAUAAUCCUACGGACUUCAAUCCCAGCUACCAGAGAGGCUGAGGCAGGAAAAUCACUUGAGCCCAGCAGGUCAGUUCCAGUCCAGGCAACAUAACAAGACCCUGCCUCAAGAUAAAACAAAACCUGAACAGAUGGAGAGCCGUGUUUGUGAUUCCUGACCACCAUCAGUGACUGAAUGGAUGAAGAAAACGAGGUCUGUACAUUCCAGAGAGUACUGCUGAGCCUUGAAACAUCUGUGGUGACCUGGCUGGGUCUAGAGGACACCGCAGCUCAGAGCUGGGCACUGAGAGAUGCUGCUCCUUACAUGUGGACUCUAGCGCUAUACAAACAUGGUGGCUCCCCGGGCUGAGGGCGCAAGCCCGGAACCUGGGAGACACCGCAGCCGGCCUGAGACUGCAGUUAGACAGAGGAACAGGCUCCAGGGGUGAUCAGAGAUCCCUGGGUCAGGGCAACAUGGUCGCUAUAGUUAAUGGCAAUAGAUUAUGUAGUGUACUUGAAACUUGCUAAAAGAUCAGAGUUUUCAUGUUCUCGCCAUAAAUAAAGUAUGAGGUUAUACAUAAAUUAAUCAGCUUGAUUUAGUCAUUACACAGUGGAUAUGAAUUUCUAAGCAUGUUGUACACCAUGAAUAUCCACAAAUUUUGUCAACUAAAAAUAAAUAUUUUAAAGAAUCAUCAGCACAGCAGGUGUGAGGUACACACCUGUAAGCCCAGCAUCCUGGGAGGCUGAGGCAGAAAGAUUGCAAGUUCAAGCCCAGAUCGUGCAAUGUGGCAAGAUCACGUCUCAAAAUAAAAAAUUUUUAAAAGGCUGAGGAUUUGGCUUAGCUCAGUGGGAAGGCUCUGGGUUCGAUUCCCAGCAGAAACACAAAAGGAUUCAUAAAGAUGUCAGUUUCCAUUGCUUAACAACAAGUGUAAUAUCAUUGCCAUCAAAAUCCCAACAAAGUUUCUCACACUUUGAAAGCAAGUAUGUACUAUGCUGAGUAAAACACAGUAACAGCUAAGAUCAUUUGAAAGAAAUGGUAGGAUUACUAGAAGCUGUAGGGUCCAGACAUCAAGUGACGUGAUAGUGCUGACAGGUAUUAAGGCAACAUUGGGUGGUGUUACGGUGCACACCUGCAAUCCCAGCACCCUGGGGGCUCAGGCAGAAGAAUCAUGAGCUCAAGGCACCCUGGACUACAUAGCAAGACCUUGUCCAAAAAAAGAAAAAGAACCUUCCACAGGGAGAACCAGCAGCAGCUCCUGAGAUCUGCGCCAUGCUCCUGAGAUCUGCGCCAUGUUGGAACUUAGGACGCCGUGAAACCAAACAAUCAGCCUGUCUCCCUGCUAAGCAAUAGUGAACCUACUGAUGCACAGCCUAGAGUCAAACAUCCCAUUACCCCUACCCUCCCUCUUCUGUCCCCCCAUUAGCAAAUGGGAACCAGAAAUCUGAGCGUCUCCUGGGAGGUUGACCAUAGCAAAUAAGGGGGACUUCCUUCUACCAUUUCUUUGAAGGCAAAUAUUUUUAUUACUGUUUUGCUCUUUUCCGAUUAAUGGUACUGCUCUAUUCAAUAUUCUGUUUUGAUAAAUUCUAUAGUGUUCUAUAUUUCAUCUCAUUUGGACAUAUAUGAUUGAAAGAACAACUAUUAUAAAAAUAACAAAAUAUACUGUGAUACCUAUUACUGUUAUCCCGGUAACCUGCUGUGAAGUUCUGUACCAAUUUCACUGUACGAUCAUAGUUGGCUUGAUUCUGUCUUGUUCUGUUGUAUACUUUCAAAAUAAAAUUUUAAAAAAAAGAAAAAGAUAAAGAUAAAAGGAAGGAAAAAGGGGAAAGGAAGGAAAGAAGGAUUAUCAAAGCAAAUGUAAAAAAUAAUGGCUCCAGAGAAAAUAGCCUUAAACAAACCCAUGCAUACAGUAAAACUUGACCUCCUAAGCUGGGUAUAAUGGCACACAAUUAGGGUCCCAACUACUCAGGUGGCUGAGGCAGGAGGAUCACCUGAGUCAGGAGUUCCGGGCCAGCCUGGCAACAUGGUGAGACUCUGUCCCUUAAAAAGGAGAAAAGAAACUUUGGUCUCCAAACUUUGGUGUCCUCCCUGUUGGCUAUCUUCUGUUUCAUCCAGAGCAUUUUCUCUGUUUUUACCUAUGUUGAAUGGAAGCACACGCACAUGACCUACUCACGUGUCAUCGUCAGACGCUGGCUCCAGCAGUUCCUUGAUCUUCAAUGCAAGAAGCCAUUUCCACCUUCCCCACUUCUCCCUGAAGAAGCCACUGCUUUGCUGUUCCUAGUGUUACAGAAACGACAGCGAGAGUGAAGCAGCCCCGCCUAACCCUUGAUGCCAGUAAGUACCAAGAAUCCUGUAGUCAGUGCCAACCAUGAUGGAAAAGCCUAACCAUCUGCACUGACACAGAUAAGACAGGGACAACAGGAGACCCCCAAGUAUUCAGGGCCAUGCUGAAUGCAAUAGGCUGUGCCCCCACUUGUGGGGUACAUGCUUUAAUUGGAUAGAAAAUUUAAGAAAAGUGUAUGUGUGAGAACUUAUGAACUGCCAAAGUAGACCACCCUUGUUCUCCCGAGUCUAUAAACUGAAUGUCCAGUUUAUAGUUAGGCUCAAUCAUUAAUGUCUACAGAGCAAACCCAAAGCUACUGCAUAGGCACACACACAUAUUUUUUUUUUCUUGUUCUUUAAAAUGUAUUUUUUUCUGGAGCUGAAAGGCUGAGCUCAGUGUGCAAUCCCUAGCACCACACAUACACAAGUGUAUAUUUCUCUUAGGAAAUGGAUUUGAGUAACGAUAAUAAAGAUUUCAUUUCUUUAGAGCAACGCAGCACCUCCUAAGAGGGAUUAAGGACGUGUCAUUGAUAUCUAGCAGGACUCACUGCCCCAAGCACACAGAAACCACUACUAUGGCAUCAGGUUUCUGGAAAAGGCUUUACUGGGUGCUCAGUGGGACAGGAGGCCAGGGGCUACAAGCUCAAGUCUGCCUGCUCCCACGCAGGUCACUUCUUUGGUGGGGUGGCGGGGUGGCGGGGUGGGGGUGGGGGAGGUGUUACAUUCUGCACAGGAGAUCGUGAACUUGUGAUGUCACUGAGUGGAUGACCUGGCCGCUCCUCAAGUUCUUAUUGAAAAUUUCGUCCCAAACCAUACAAAUCAUGAAUGAAGACCUGAAGGCUUUUCCUGGAUGAUAAGGGAUUUAUAUCUAGUGUGUCCAAGCCUUACCUAAUUUUACCAUGCCAAAAUAUGGUGUGUUGGUAUACUGAUUAUUUGAGACUUAUGUCACUUGAGGAACUGUAACUUCAGAAAGGGAAAUCUGGCCUGUUUUCUUAGUACAGUAAAACCAGGGAUUAAGAGUCACCUGUUUACUGAGGGUCCUACAAGACAAACGCUUCCAAUCAAUUUUAACUUGAUAAACCAGUGAUGUCAUGCAGUGUGUUUUGUGAUGCCAAAUGUCACAUGAUCACAACUGAGCCAAUGGUCCUCUCACUGCGGGAUUGAGGGCGAUCAUCUCCCAACAGCAAGAGGUAUGGAGGUGAUCUCCACUGCAGAGGAGGAGGAAAAGGCGGAGUGGGCCCUUAUUUUAAAUGAGAGAAAAUAUGGGAAUGGUGCAAGAUUUUGUAGAAAAAAAGAAAGAAAGAAAGAAAAGCACCAUCUAAAUAAGGCUGUAGCAGGGUGAGGGAUGAAUCUGCUGAGUGACAAUGCAAUGUCACGUUUCCACAAAUCCUCAAAAGGAGGCAACAGCAAAAGUGUCACUGAAUAGGUUCCUUGUUAAAGCUGCACAAAAAGAAAACGAUUUCACUGAGCCAAGAGCAGCGAUUCUGUUAGUGACAGUGAAUCCGCCUCUCUCUGGUCUUCCUCACUCCAGUAAUAAUGGUCUUCAAAGGAAGUGAAGGUUAAUUUUUUUCUUUAUAUUUUUUAUUUUGUUACUACUUUGUAUUAUAUCACAGUAUCGUAAUCGUUUUUACACAAAUAUUUUUGUUGUAGAACAAAUUGUCUGAUUUUCCAUUCUGUAUUAUGGGGAAGUUUGCUUGGAUACACAAGUAAUUUGGGUUACAAGCAUGUUUCCAGAAUAAAUUACGCUGUAAACCAAGAUUUUACUAUAUACUGUGUAUUCCACUGAGUCGUUUUCAGAAAUAAACGGACCGUCUGACUC